rnacentral:rRNA from 1 species
CGCCUGCCCGGUGCUGGAAGGUUAAGAGGACCCGUUAACCCGCAAGGGUGAAGCGGAGAAUUUAAGCCCCAGUAAACGGCGGUGGUAACUAUAACCAUCCUAAGGUAGCGAAAUUCCUUGUCGGGUAAGUUCCGACCUGCACGAAUGGCGUAACGACUUCUCAACUGUCUCAACCAUAGACUCGGCGAAAUUGCACUACGAGUAAAGAUGCUCGUUACGCGCGGCAGGACGAAAAGACCCCGGGACCUUCACUACAACUUGGUAUUGAUGUUCGGUACGGUUUGUGUAGGAUAGGUGGGAGACUGUGAAACCUCGACGCCAGUUGGGGCGGAGUCGUUGUUGAAAUACCACUCUGAUCGUAUUGGGCAUCUAACCUCGAACCCUGAAUCGGGUUUAGGGACAGUGCCUGGCGGGUAGUUUAACUGGGGCGGUUGCCUCCUAAAAUGUAACGGAGGCGCCCAAAGGUUCCCUCAACCUGGACGGCAAUCAGGUGGCGAGUGUAAAUGCACAAGGGAGCUUGACUGCGAGACUUACAAGUCAAGCAGGGACGAAAGUCGGGAUUAGUGAUCCGGCACCCCCGAGUGGAAGGGGNAAAAGCUACCCUGGGGAUAACAGGCUGAUCUUCCCCAAGAGUCCAUAUCGACGGGAUGGUUUGGCACCUCGAUGUCGGCUCGUCGCAUCCUGGGGCUGGAGCAGGUCCCAAGGGUUGGGCUGUUCGCCCAUUAAAGCGGCACGCGAGCUGGGUUUAGAACGUCGUGAGACAGUUCGGUCUCUAUCCGCCGCGCGCGUCAGAAACUUGAGGAAACCUGUCCCUAGUACGAGAGGACCGGGACGGACGAACCUCUGGUGCACCAGUUGUCCCGCCAGGGGCACCGCUGGAUAGCCACGUUCGGUCAGGAUAACCGCUGAAAGCAUCUAAGCGGGAAACCUUCUCCAAGAUCAGGUUUCUCACCCACUUGGUGGGAUAAGGCCCCCCGCAGAACACGGGUUCAAUAGGUCAGACCUGGAAGCUCAGUAAUGGGUGUAGGGAACUGGUGCUAACCGGCCGAAAACUUACAACA